rnacentral:rRNA from 1 species
GAUGAACGCUGGCGGCGUGCCUAAUACAUGCAAGUCGAGCGAACAGACGAGGAGCUUGCUCCUCUGACGUUAGCGGCGGACGGGUGAGUAACACGUGGAUAACCUACCUAUAAGACUGGGAUAACUUCGGGAAACCGGAGCUAAUACCGGAUAAUAUAUUGAACCGCAUGGUUCAAUAGUGAAAGACGGUUUUGCUGUCACUUAUAGAUGGAUCCGCGCCGCAUUAGCUAGUUGGUAAGGUAACGGCUUACCAAGGCAACGAUGCGUAGCCGCCCUGAGAGGGUGAUCGGCCACACUGGAACUGAGACACGGUCCAGACUCCUACGGGAGGCAGCAGUAGGGAAUCCUCCGCAAUGGGCGAAAGCCUGACGGAGCAACGCCGCGUGAGUGAUGAAGGUCUUCGGAUCGUAAAACUCUGUUAUUAGGGAAGAACAAAUGUGUAAGUAACUAUGCACGUCUUGACGGUACCUAAUCAGAAAGCCACGGCUAACUACGUG